UGGGGAAUUUUGGACAAUGGGCGAAAGCCUGAUCCAGCAAUGCCGCGUGUGUGAAGAAGGCCUUCGGGUUGUAAGCACUUUUGUCCGGAAAGAAAUCCUUGGCUCUAAUACAGUCGGGGGAUGACGGUACCGGAAGAAUAAGCACCGGCUAACUACGUGCCAGCAGCCGCGGUAAUACGUAGGGUGCAAGCGUUAAUCGGAAUUACUGGGCGUAAAGCGUGCGCAGGCGGUUUGCUAAGACCGAUGUGAAAUCCCCGGGCUCAACCUGGGAACUGCAUUGGUGACUGGCAGGCUAGAGUAUGGCAGAGGGGGGUAGAAUUCCACGUGUAGCAGUGAAAUGCGUAGAGAUGUGGAGGAAUACCGAUGGCGAAGGCAGCCCCCUGGGCAAUACUGACGCUCAUGCACGAAAGCGUGGGGAGCAAACAGGAUUAGAUACCCUGGUAGUCCACGCCCUAAACGAUGUCAACUAGUUGUUGGGGAUUCAUUCCUUAGUAACGUAGCUAACGCGUGAAGUUGACCGCCUGGGGAGUACGGUCGCAAGAUUAAAAC
rnacentral:rRNA from 1 species